CACGCAAACCAGCCUCAGAUUAGCAAGUGCACCUCAGUGGGGCUGGUGUCAGAAGCCGGUGGGGAGACGCCGUUGGGAUGUGGCAUGAGGGACUCAGGCAGCUCUUCUGAUCCUGACCCCCCAGGAUGCUGAUGUGAGUGAGGGUGGAGGGUCAUAGGAUCAGCACUUAGGGGACAACAUCCAACAUCGUCUUUCCCAUUUCACAGCUGAGGGAACUGAGGCAGAGGGUAUGCUCAGGAGCCAGGAACCGUGCAGAGCCUGGCAAGCCCUGCCAGGGACUGAAUAGGCAGAGAGGCCUGGGCUGGAAGUGACAGGGAAGGCUGUCUGUGUUUCUGUGGCCCCGGCUGCCCUGUCUCAGUCGUUCGCCCAGAGCAGGGAAGGCAGGCCUGAGGAGGGCCAGACUUCACGGGUCACUUGCUGGAUUUCAUCCUGCUCCACUGGCUUCUUCCUGACGCUGUUCCCCGAGGCCAAGUGACCACUCAAACGGCAUGACCUUUCUCAGCCACUUCUGGAUGCCCCCAGCUGGCAGCAUUCUCUCCCAGGUGAAUGGGUUUGUUUUUCUCUCCCCAUCCUUCAUCCCUGAUCAGGUUUCCAUUCUGCAGAGGUCUCUUCUUGCAGAAAGACAGUUACCCUGAGGGGGCAUCAGAGUCCAUCUGCAGCUCUCCACUUCUCAGAAAUGCAUGUUCCAGCCCCUGGGGCCGAGGGAAGGCCAGAUGUGCCAGUGUCCCACAGCAGAGGUCUGACUUUUGGAAGCCAUUUCUGCCUGCUUUGCCUGACAUGAUCAAGGAGACAGGAGGGCCCAGACAGGGGUUCGAGCCUCUAGUUCCUAAAGGGUUAGCCUUAAAAGUUUCUUUCCUGCCAGAGAAAAAAUAGCAAACAUAAAAACAGACACACUAGACCAAGCACUGGAGGACAACCGGCAGCAGCCCCUGAAGCCGGGCCUUGCACACCUGCCAUUGCCCUGGGCACACAGCGGACGUGCCGGAAGGCCUGUGCCAGGAUGUCUUGGACUCUGAAACAGGGGAGACCCAGGGCCCACCUGUGGGGAUGGAACACUGGUACAUCAUGCAAGCACCAUCAGGCAGUGAGAGUGAGCAGGUUUUGCUGUACACGAGGACACGCACGGGUGUCUCCGGGCACUGUGGGCAGAAGAGGCUGGACUCAAGGGCGUGUGCUCUAUCAUUCCACUUACAUAAAGGUCCCCACCAGGCAAAACCAUGGUGCUGGAGUAGCAGAGGGCAGUGAUGGAGCCUACCAGGGACCAGAAAUAUUCUGAAUCUUGAUCUAAGAGAUGCUUUCAUGAAAUUUCAUCAAUGUGGACGCCUAAGAUGUGUGCAUGUUACUGUAUGUAUGUUGUAUUUCAAUGAAUAGGUUUAUCAAAAAAUAAUGUCCUUCACAGCAGGGCUGCAGCAUGGGGCAUGUCUCUUGUCCUGAGAGGUCCCUAUACCUUCCAAAUUUAUAGGCCUCUCAGGAGCUACAGGCUGACAUGGCAAAAUGACCAUCUGUGUGCUUUCAGAAUUAUUCUGUUGGCCAGAGACACAAAGGAAAUGAAAAGUUAUAUGCAAUUUAUGAAUGUACUGCCUGGGCUGUCUGUUAAGGCCAAGACCUGAAUAUUGAGUCUAUUAUAAGCAAUUAUAAAAAGGAUAGCAUUCCUUAAUGUUUCUCACUUGAUAGGAAGGGUUUUAAAUAUGGGACAUUAGUUAAUAAAAAGUCCCCAGAAGCCUAUUGUAAUAUAUUACCUAAUUCCUAACAGUUCAUAGUCACUGAAAUAGGUAAAAGGGGAAUGUAAAAUUAAUAUAUAGUUAUUAUUAAAAUUGUCUUAUAAAUUAGUUAAGUGCCCUGGAGGUACAGAGUGGGCAUGAUUAUUCUAAGACAGUCUCAAGGGCCAUGGUGCACCCUGUGUAUUUGUGGAAUGGGAAUGCCGUAGCCAGGAGGGGAGCAAGCUCUAGCUCUGUAGUUUUAAGGAUAAAACAUGCUGAAAGAGUUGAGAACUAGCAACCAGACUACAAAAAUUUGAUAAAGAAAUCUCUUCCCUAGUUACUGAAAUUUCUGGGGAGGCCAGUGCUUUGAGGCAUCACCAAGCCUGUUCUUUGCCAGCAUCCAGGAAAGAUAGCUGGAUUCCCAUGGGUUGGAAUUGGUUGGGGGCCACAGACAGGUGUUUGUGUAGCUCCUGGAGACCACCAGUUUCCCAGAACUGAUGGGGCAAAAAUAAUGCCCUGAAAGUGUUUGCUCCCAGCAAACCCUGCUGCAGGGACGCAGUGAAGGUGGGUCUGAGCCGCAUGCCCAGCCACAGCUGCGGGUUGGUACAGCUGAGGGGCCAUGGUGCCUCUGGAGGACAGGUGCAUGUGACUCCGGCAGUGUCAGAGCCACAGGCUCAGGUGGCACGUGCAGGGAGCCACAGCUUCCCACCUUUAUGGAGCAGCAGUACACUUGAUUGGGGGAUUUAGCAGCUGGGAAUGGAAAUCCACUCAAAUGCAAGUCAUUAGCUGAAUGUGAGUUCUCUUUCCAGGAGCUUUGGUGAAUGUCACGUUUUGUGUGUGCUAGGUGAUUUACCUAGUACCUGCUGAAUCUGUUUCCAGUGGCAGGCUUGCUUCCCCUGAUGGCACAGUCUCCUGGGCAGAGAAGCUUUCUUCUCCCAGGGGAGACAGAGAGCUGGGGGUUUUCCCAGCGACAGCACCAGAGGCAAAUUUGCUUUCUGCUUCAGUCCUUCAGAGCUUCACAUUCAGCCGCUUCCUGUCCCUGGCUCCCUCCAUUCCAGCAGGAGCCCAAGCCAUGCGUGUUUUCCUAAGGGGGGUGUGGUCCGUGGAAGGGAGCAAGCUUGCUGUGGGCAGCUAGAGGAAGCAGGUGAGGCUGUUUGCUCACCAAUCUCUGACAUCACCCAGCUCACCCUGCAGGAGGGACACCUUCAAGUGCACACAGAGGUUUUUGCCACAGAAUCUGAUUCCAGCAAAGAGAGAUAAGUGGUCUUUUAAAGCAAGGCUGAGCAGGUACUCAUGUGGCUUGGAUUCUCCUCACACCAUACCAAAGAGCCUUGCCUUGAAUUGUGGUCCUCCCAAGCUAGACAGAAGGUUUUCACAAGGUGCGCCAUGUGGGUGGCAGGUUGUGUGCGCCUGCGACCUCUUGUGGCCGCUCCUCAGAGUCAUCCUGGAUGGUGGCCGUGUGGGUUGUGUCCACUGGUCCCAGCACAUCUGAAAGGCCUUCUGGGGCCAGGGGACUAGGCAGGGACCAGGGGAGCUAGUCUUUAACAAGUAGUUCUUGUUCCUUCCAAAAAAAUGUUUUCAAAGCGAACACAGCUGUCUCUGGGAAAGAUACUGCAUGUGCCAGCAGGAAAUUUAGUCACAAGAUAUGGAAAAAAUCCUGUGCUGCAGAGGUUCACUAACCGUUGUUGCUUUAAGAGACAAACUUCUAGAUCUCUCCAGGGGUACAGGCAGACUUUGAUGUCCUGGGAUCACAAUAGGUGGAACUUACACCUCCUCUUUGAAGUGGAAAUCUCUUCCCCUGGGUGAACUGAGGCACACUGCACCUGUGGGCUCUGCUAUAAUCCGGUCAAGAGUCCUUCACGGGGACAGCUGGGUGUUUUCCAACUUGCCAGUGUGAAGGACACUGCGAUGAUCAGCCUAAUCUAUCCACCAUGUGGGUGUUUAACUGAUAACCUCUUUGGGGUAGAUUCCUGCAAUUGGAAUUGCUGGGGGAAAUUUUGAUGCUCAAAGCCAAACUGCCCUCUAGAAGUUCUUCUUCCUCACAGCAGUGGAUGGUACUAAUGUCUGGUGAAGCACCUCCUACAUGCUUCCUGGGGAUUCUCUCACUGAAUCCCAUGAAGUAAGGAGUGGCAAAUCUGGGCUUUAUAGGGCACAGAGCCAGGAGGUCCUUAAGGAACUGGCCUGAGAUCCACAGUGGACAGAUGGGUCUUAGAAGAGCUAGGUGGCCUCUCCAGAAACUGUGCCCUCAGCCCCUGUGGUGUACACACGCACACACACACACACACACACACACACACACACACCUGUGAGUGCCUGUGUGCUCACUUGGGCCUCAGAGUUAAUCGUAUUGUUAUGAUAAUUCAUCUUUACCAAUCUGAUAAGGGAAAAGUAAAAUCCUUUAUUUGCACUUCUAUGACUACUGGCAAGGUUAAACUUCUCUCACAGAUAUUUCUCGGGCAUUUGUGUCUGUGGCUUAUCUGCCCUUGGCACAAUUUGCUGUUGGGAUUGUGGUUGACUUACUGAUCUACAAGAGCACUUUAUACCAGGACUCAUCAUGUUACUGUUCUAUUUGUCAAAAUAUUGUUCCCUAUUUGAUAUGCAGACAUUUUAAGUAUAAAGAGUCAAGGUGGAUCUUUCCCUGCACAGUUUAUGCUUUUUCCAUAAUUACAAAGGCUUUUUCUAUUACAUCAGUACAAUUUAACUGUUUGUAUCUGUUUUCUUCUAUCUUUAUGAGAUUUAUUUUCUUAAAAAAAUUUUUUUUUAUAAUUAUGAAGUAUUUCAACACUGGUUUGUAUAGUAAAACAUAUCCACACAUCUGUGUGGUUCUAAACUCUUUAAUCUGCCUAAAUACACUGAAGUGCAAUGAGUAAGCAAAGAUUCUGGCAUUUUUGCCCCCCAGGAGUGACUAGUCAGCCCACUGUCUUUGGAAUAAUCUCUUUGCCCUACGGAUUUAAAAUUCUGCCUUUACUGUAUUUUAAAUUCUUAAUGUGUGUUACCAGCAUGGAUAGCCCUUGCAGCAGCAACAAGAGAACCCAAAUCUCAGUGGCUUAGCACAGUGGAAGUUUAUUUGGGGCUUAUGUUACAGCCUGAGGCAGGCCUCGGUGGCUCUCCUCCAGCAGCGGUGGGGCUUGCUUCCAUUGUCUGACUCUGCCCCCUUUGAGAGGGGAAAGGAAAAGCACAGAGAGCUUACCACCUCUUCCAGCCCUGCCUGGAAGCAGCACAGGUCACUUCCAGUCGCACACCUAUUGGUGAGAGUCAGUCACAUCGUCCCAGCCUACCUGCAGGCAGUCUGGGAAAUGUGCCCAGAAAGAGGAAAUGGAGUAGUGAGCGCACAGCUAGGUCUCCCUCCAGGCUUCUCCAACAGAUGAAAUGUAAGGCUGUGUGUAUGUGUGUGUGCACACUUAUGUGCAUGUGUACAAGGCUUGUUUGAUCAUUAAGCAUGUUCAGGCCAGUCGUGCCUGCCACCUAUUACCCUUUCCUCAGAUGUUUACUGAGGACCUACUAUGUGCUCAUCAUAAAGCCCAACCUUGGAUACAGAAUAACAUGGGCCUGCCUCUAGGAAUUCCUUUCAAAACUGGUAGGAAAAAGGGGCAGGCACUGUGGCAUAGCCAUAUGCAAGACU